UUGCUUCGGCAGCACAUAUACUAAGAUGGGAACAAGACAGAGUAGAUUAGCAUGGCCCUGCGCAAGGAUGACAUGCAAAUUUGUGAAGCGUUCCAUGUUUUA
ensembl:snRNA U6 U6 spliceosomal RNA